CAAAACGACUCUCGGCAACGGAUAUCUCGGCUCUC
rnacentral:rRNA from 4 species